GUGCUACUGGCGCCGGGUCGGUCCGGGUAGGCGCAGCGGGACUGGACCUGGGUGCCGAGCGGAGCCGCUGCCAUGGGCCUGGGCGUCAGCGCUGAGCAGCCCGCAGGCGGCGCCGAGGGCUUCCACCUCCACGGGGUGCAGGAGAACUCCCCAGCCCAGCAGGCAGGCCUGGAGCCCUACUUUGACUUCAUCAUCACCAUUGGGCACUCGAGGCUGAACAAGGAGAAUGACACCCUGAAGGCACUACUGAAAGCCAAUGUGGAGAAGCCCGUGAAGCUGGAGGUGUUCAAUAUGAAGACCAUGAGGGUGCGCGAGGUGGAGGUGGUGCCCAGCAACAUGUGGGGCGGCCAGGGCCUACUGGGUGCCAGCGUGCGCUUCUGCAGCUUCCGCAGGGCCAGUGAGCAGGUGUGGCAUGUGCUGGAUGUGGAACCAUCUUCACCUGCUGCCCUUGCCGGCCUGCGCCCUUACACAGACUAUGUGGUUGGUUCGGACCAGAUUCUCCAGGAGUCCGAGGACUUCUUUACGCUCAUCGAGUCUCAUGAGGGGAAGCCCUUGAAGCUGAUGGUGUAUAACUCCAAGUCAGACUCCUGCCGGGAGGUGACUGUAACUCCCAACGCAGCCUGGGGUGGAGAGGGCAGUCUGGGAUGUGGCAUUGGCUAUGGGUAUCUACACCGGAUCCCAACUCAGCCCCCCAGCUACCACAAGCAGCCACCUGGUACCCCACCACCUUCUGCUUCACCACCUGGUGCCCCACCACCUGAUGCCCCACCACCUGAUGCCCUACCACCUGGACCCACCCCCGAGGACUCUCCUUCCCUGGAGACAGGUUCCAGGCAGAGUGACUACAUGGAGGCCCUGCUGCAGGCACCUGGCUCCUCCAUGGAGGAUCCCCUUCCUGGGCCUGGGAGUCCCAGCCACAGUGCUCCAGACCCUGAUGGACUUCCCCAUUUAAUGGAGACUCCUCUUCAGCCCCCACCUCCAGUGCAGCGAGUUAUGGACCCAGGUUUCCUGGACGUGUCGGGAAUUUCCCUCUUGGACAACAGCAAUGCCAGUGUGUGGCCCAGUCUGCCCUCUUCCACAGAACUGACCACCACAGCUGUCUCAACCUCAGGGCCAGAGGACAUCUGCUCCAGCAGCAGUUCUCAUGAGCGGGGUGGUGAGGCUACAUGGUCUGGGUCAGAGUUUGAGGUCUCCUUCCUGGACAGCCCAGGUGCCCAAGCCCAGGCGGACCACCUGCCUCAGCUGACUCUUCCUGACAGUCUCACCUCUGCAGCCUCACCAGAAGAUGGGCUGUCCGCCGAGCUGCUUGAAGCUCAGGCUGAGGAGGAACCAGCAAGCACAGAGGGCCUAGAUAUUGGGACGGAGGCUGAGGGGCUGGCCAGCCAGGCCCAGAUCUCUACUACAGAAUAAUACCCUGGGCUGUGACAAGGCCCCUGAUGACAUUUCAUGAGGCCCAGAUGUGGGCAGGCAGCCCAGGCUGCACUAUGCAGUCAGCUCCAUGCUGAUUCUAGCCCUGUGCCUGAUCCCAGCCCUAUGUGUUCAGCUUUCUAGGCUGUAGCUCCAAGUGAUGUGCAGGGACUUCUGCUGGCAGGGGGCUUCUGUGUCCACUCAGACUCUACUUCUAGUGUCCAAGAGGUAACCUCCCAGCAUUUAUCCUGCCUGAUAGUCCUGGCUUUGGGGGUUUCAAGCAAGUCUUUCUGGGGUAGCAGAGGGCUGGGAGCAGCACCCCAAAUUGUUUUAUAGGAGCUGGGGUAGGAGAGGAGGGAUUCUUUGCUGCUUUGGUGGGGCAUGAGGCCUCAGUGGGUGGUGAGAGGGGGCCAUGGGCCUUGUGGGAGGAUAUCUUUUGGCCGUGUGCCCUCAGGUCCAGUGCUUGGUCCUGCUCUGGUCACUGGGGCUGCCCAGGAGGCAGCAGGGUCUGGUCAUAAUCCAAUGUGAAGAUGAGGUGAGAAAGGAAGGGGUUGCUGUCCAGUGUUAGCCUGGUCGCUUUGAUUCUUCCUGCACAGCUCAGGCCACCCCAUCUGUACUGGAAGGGACCCUGGAGCCCUGGGACCACCCCCUUUCAAGUCUCAAACACUGAGUCCUCUGUCAUGUGUCCUUGUCCCUAGGCUACAAUGCUACACUUGGCUCAGGCUGGUCACCAUGCUAGUCACAGGAGGGAGAGAGAGGCAGUGUACUUGCCCCCGGUUGGAAAUUCUAGGCCCUUCAGCAGAGACCCAUUUGUGCCCAGACCACAAUAUUUCUUCCUCCUCAGGGCCUACAUGCCACAGACCUGUAUCGCCAGUGGCAACUCCUGUUAGCUCCCAAACUUAAACAGUGAUCUCUUCUAAAUAUACAAGGCAUCUACCCAGCCCCAAUAGUGAAUAAAAGUCACAAAUUUAAGUUCAACACCCUAAGCAAUUUCUCAAAGCCAGUCUACCUGACUAGGUCUAUCCACGCACGGUUCCCAACCCCAAGGGGGAAUUAGGGGAAUAGAUUAAGAGUAGGUAAAGACCCUUUUGUUCUUUCCUGUUGUAGGGGAGGAAGCUGUUCUCCCCACCCCAGGUGCCUUUGGAGGUUAAGGCUAGGUUAGGCCCUGCACUCCAUCUGGAGACGGCCCCUCAUCACCUGAAGUCCUCUGCUGUGUUGACUGGACCCUCACUUCCCACAUUGCUAAUUACUAUGAAAGCUGCCUCUGGCCUCAUCAUCUAGCCUGUGCCUAGUUGAAAGUCUCACCUUUACAGGAUCAUUUGUAAUGCUGGUGUACAUGCAGGGAACUCACAAGCUGUGUCAGACUGUCAGAUUUUCUGGAAACUGUAUUACGGUUUGACUGGAGGGGAAAGAAAUACAAUCAUGCUGGGGGUCAGAUCGAUGACAGGAGGGGAAUGCAGCCACCCAAGGCUUAGCACACAGGGCAAAAUGACCCAGCAAAACCCAUUUCUUUGCUCAAAGGCCCCUCGGGCAAACACAACUGAGGGCUGGUAAAUAAUUUUUUUUUUUUUUUUUUUUUUUGCCAUUAAUUCACAACUAUUGCUAAAAAAUGUGCACCAAAAGCGCACUGUUGUAUCCAACAGAUAGAAAGGACUUUUAAGAAAAAGAAGCUGGUUGCUCUCUGAGGAAGGGAGAAAGACCAUUUCAACUUAUUAGAAAUGUGGCCACGUCUUUGCUCACUUCUUCAAAGUGCAGGUGACAAUGGCCUGUCCAGUUUCCAAAGGAAGCUGACUAGCAGUGAGGGAACCCUGUCUCUGCAGUUGUGCGAUCAGAGUAUCUUAAAUACUAAGGUAUGGACUUAGGCCUAUCAGCUGCCGCCAGCCGAACCUGUGAAGAUGUAGAAAAGAAAAAAACCUUCCCUGCCUCCCUCCCUAGUCCCUGCUAUGGUGGAGGCAGGCCACACACAAGCUAGGGAGGCAACUGGACUGGAAUCAACUGCCCUCUGAAGGCACUUGUGCUUCUGGCUUCAUACAGGAGGCUUGUCUUACAGUUUUAUGGCGGUGGACCAUUGAUUUACUCUGAAUACAAAUGACCUUGGGGAGAAUCCAAAGUAUUUUCUGCCAAAAGUUGAAGUGUUUAUCCCCAAUAAGUUACAUUCUAUACAAGAUCCAAAUGAUUCUAUGAAAGUGUUAGAUUGUUAGAACAGUGAAAAGAUCUGGAUACAGGUACAACAAAAACCUGCAUAUAAAACUUUGGAAAAACAAAUAUGUAUACUUCCAGGAUAUGAAUAUCAAAUUAACUCACUAUGAUCUCCCUUUAUUCUGAUACCAUAAAUUUUAGGUAACAUUUGAAUGAAACUGAAAUUUCAUCAUGGUCUUAAGUUUUGAUGGUGUCAUGCUGCUCAUCCACAGCAAGAACCUGUGGUCUCAGCUCGCUUUGUUUAAAUAAAACUGGACACAGUGGAGGAAGGAGUGAAACGGCUGCACCUCCCUGGGGUUGCCACAAAGCCAGGACAUCAUGGGAGGUGCAGCAUCGCUAGGCACGGGCUGCACAAACUCUGGCCCAGCAGUCCAAGUGCUAUGAUCCAGCACCUGGAAUUUCAACAGAUCUUCCUACAAGAACACAUCUGAGAUGCAAUAUUAAAAACAAGCCCAACAUUAAUCUUUUAUUACGAAAUGGGCUGGUUCUCAAAUUGUGCAACAGCAAAUUCCCAUUAAAAAUAACUGUCUUAAACGGUGAAAA